UACGUAGGGACCAAGCGUUGUCCGGAAUCAUUGGGCGUAAAGAGCGUGUAGGCGGCUUGUUAAGUCUUGCGUGAAAUCUCGGGGCUCAACCCCGAGCGGUCGUGAGAAACUGGCAGGCUAGAGUGCGGGAGAGGAGAGUGGAAUUCCUGGUGUAGCGGUGAAAUGCGUAGAUAUCGGGAGGAACACCAGCGGCGAAGGCGGCUUUCUGGACCAAUACUGACGCUGAGACGCGAAAGCGUGGGGAGCAAACAGG
rnacentral:rRNA from 1 species